CAUUCUCAGCUGUUGCUUCUUUAUGCCCCUUCGAUACUGCCGUCUGUGCAGCCAAUGCAAGUGCCGUAGCAGGCAACCCUUCAAUUUCUUUUUCAUUUGUAAUGAAUUUUUCAAAUUUCUUUGUGGCAUCCAAUACAUUCUCCCCAAACUUUUGAGAUAGCCUUUCCAACUCCUGUUGAAUUUUGUUGAAUUCUUUCCUUUUGUCAUCUUCAAGAGCAACACCAAUAAGAACUGCCUCCUUUAUUUGGGAUUCCACUAUACGUUUCUGAGCAUUGCUUAGUGACUGCCAUUGAGGAGAAUCUUGGAUGGCCUUAAAUGCAUUGUAAAUUGGUUUACU
rnacentral:misc_RNA from 1 species